GAUGAACGCUGGCGGCGUGCCUAAUACAUGCAAGUCGAGCGAACAGAUAAGGAGCUUGCUCCUUUGACGUUAGCGGCGGACGGGUGAGUAACACGUGGGUAACCUACCUAUAAGACUGGGAUAACUUCGGGAAACCGGAGCUAAUACCGGAUAAUAUUUCGAACCGCAUGGUUCGAUAGUGAAAGAUGGUUUUGCUAUCACUUAUAGAUGGACCCGCGCCGUAUUAGCUAGUUGGUAAGGUAACGGCUUACCAAGGCGACGAGACGUAGCCGACCUGAGAGGGUGAUCGGCCACACUGGAACUGAGACACGGUCCAGACUCCUACGGGAGGCAGCAGUAGGGAAUCUUCCGCAAUGGGCGAAAGCCUGACGGAGCAACGCCGCGUGAGUGAUGAAGGUCUUCGGAUCGUAAAACUCUGUUAUUAGGGAAGAACAUACGUGUAAGUAACUGUGCACGUCUUGACGGUACCUAAUCAGAAAGCCACGGCUAACUACGUG
rnacentral:rRNA from 1 species